rnacentral:lncRNA from 1 species
AAGCCUUAAAUAUGUAGUAUAUUCAUAUACAACCAAUAUGCCCUUAGGCACCUCAAAUGACAAUUAUAAACAUGUUUAACCAUGUAAUCUAUGUAACUAAGUAAUCAACAAGCUAUUAUUCGCCAUGAGAAAAUAUCCAACAAGGCAUAGAUCAUAGUUGGGCUCCUUGGAUUCCUCCUCUCAUUGAAUUUGUCACGGCUCUUCUUCCCCAUCAUGAAUGCCCAAAUUUGUCAACCCAUCUUAAUUUCAUCUUGAAGAACGUGAAAGCAACCCCAAAUACUCACAUUAAAAUUUAUUGAAAAAAAGAACAAAACGAAGGAAAAGCAAAAGAAUCAUGCAAGAAGAGCAAAUAAAGAAACCGCGUUAUAAGAGUAUAC